rnacentral:rRNA from 1 species
AGGUCCAGCCUGCCCAGUGACAUCAGUUCAACGGCCGCGGUAUCCUGACCGUGCGAAGGUAGCGUAAUCACUUGUCUUCUAAAUUAAGACUAGUAUGAAAGGCAUCACGAGAGUCAAACUGUCUCCUCUCUCUAAUCUGUGAAACUAAUCUCCCCGUGAAGAAGCGGGGGUUUAAAUAUAAGACGAGAAGACCCUGUGGAGCUUCAGACAAAAAUACUGCUGCCCUCACCAGCAUCCUAGUAUCAAGUCUUAGGUUGGGGCGACCACGGAGUAAAAACUAUCCUCCAUGCUGAACAGGACCUCCUUAAACAAGAGCCACAGCUCUACGAAUCAACAAAUUGACACACUUGACCCAAUUACUUGAUCAACGAAACAAGUUACCCCAGGGAUAACAGCGCAAUCCACUUCAAGAGCCCCUAUCAACAAGUGGGUUUACGACCUCGAUGUUGGAUCAGGGUAUCCCAGUGGUGCAGCCGCUACUAAAGGUUUGUUUGUUCAACAAUUAAAACCCU